AUGAACGCUAGCUACAGGCUUAACACAUGCAAGUCGAGGGGCAGCAUGGUCUUAGCUUGCUAAGACUGAUGGCGACCGGCGCACGGGUGAGUAACACGUAUCCAACCUGCCGUCUACUCUUGGACAGCCUUCUGAAAGGAAGAUUAAUACAAGAUGGCAUCAUGAGUCCACAUGUUCACAUGAUUAAAGGUAUUCCGGUAGACGAUGGGGAUGCGUUCCAUUAGAUAGUAGGCGGGGUAACGGCCCACCUAGUCUUCGAUGGAUAGGGGUUCUGAGAGGAAGGUCCCCCACAUUGGAACUGAGACACGGUCCAAACUCCUACGGGAGGCAGCAGUGAGGAAUAUUGGUCAAUGGGCGCAGGCCUGAACCAGCCAAGUAGCGUGAAGGAUGACUGCCCUAUGGGUUGUAAACUUCUUUUAUAAAGGAAUAAAGUCGGGUAUGCAUACCCGUUUGCAUGUACUUUAUGAAUAAGGAUCGGCUAACUCCGUGCCAGCAGCCGCGGUAAUACGGAGGAUCCGAGCGUUAUCCGGAUUUAUUGGGUUUAAAGGGAGCGUAGAUGGAUGUUUAAGUCAGUUGUGAAAGUUUGCGGCUCAACCGUAAAAUUGCAGUUGAUACUGGAUAUCUUGAGUGCAGUUGAGGCAGGCGGAAUUCGUGGUGUAGCGGUGAAAUGCUUAGAUAUCACGAAGAACUCCGAUUGCGAAGGCAGCCUGCUAAGCUGCAACUGACAUUGAGGCUCGAAAGUGUGGGUAUCAAACAGGAUUAGAUACCCUGGUAGUCCACACGGUAAACGAUGAAUACUCGCUGUUUGCGAUAUACAGCAAGCGGCCAAGCGAAAGCGUUAAGUAUUCCACCUGGGGAGUACGCCGGCAACGGUGAAACUCAAAGGAAUUGACGGGGGCCCGCACAAGCGGAGGAACAUGUGGUUUAAUUCGAUGAUACGCGAGGAACCUUACCCGGGCUUAAAUUGCAGAUGAAUUACGGUGAAAGCCGUAAGCCGCAAGGCAUCUGUGAAGGUGCUGCAUGGUUGUCGUCAGCUCGUGUCGUGAGAUGUUGGGUUAAGUCCCGCAACGAGCGCAACCCUUAAGCUUAGUUGCCAUCAUUAAGUUGGGCACUCUAAGUUGACUGCCGGUGACAAACCGGAGGAAGGUGGGGAUGACGUCAAAUCAUCAUGCCCCUUAUGAUUUGGGCUACACACGUGCUACAAUGGCGCAUACAAAGAGAAGCGACCUCGCGAGAGCAAGCGGACCUCAUAAAGUGCGUCGUAGUCCGGAUUGGAGUCUGCAACUCGACUCCAUGAAGUCGGAAUCGCUAGUAAUCGUGGAUCAGAAUGCCACGGUGAAUACGUUCCCGGGCCUUGUACACACCGCCCGUCACACCACGAGAGUUUGUAACACCCGAAGUCGGUGAGGUAACCUUUUAGGAGCCAGCCGCCUAAGGUGGGAUAGAUGAUUGGGGUG
rnacentral:rRNA from 1 species